GACGGCUCAGUAACACGUGGAUAAUCUGCCCUUAGGUGGAGGAUAAUCUCGGGAAACUGAGGAUAAUACUCCAUAGAUCUAGGAUGCUGGAAUGCACUUAGAUUAAAAGUUCCGGCGCCUAACGAUGAGUCUGCGGAUUAUCAGGUAGUAGUCAGGGUAAAGGCCUGACUAGCCUACGACGGAUACGGGUUGUGAGAGCAAUAACCCGGAAACGAUAUCUGAGACACGAUAUCGGGCCCUACGGGGCGCAGCAGGCGCGAAAACUUCACACUGUGCGAAAGCACGAUGAGGGAAUCCCAAGUGCUUGCUCGUAAGAGUAAGCUGUUUUUAUGUCUAAAAAGCAUAGAGAGUAAGGGCUGGGUAAGACGGGUGCCAGCCGCCGCGGUAAUACCUGCAGCUCAAGUGGUGACCACUAUUAUUGGGCCUAAAACGUUCGUAGCCGGUUUAUUAAAUGCUUGGGUAAAUCGUGUAGCUUAACUAUACGACUUCCGGGUAGACUGAUACACUUGAGACCGGGAGAAGCUACAGGUACUCCUGGGGUAGAGGUGACAUUCUGUAAUCCUGGGGGGACCACCAGUGGCGAAGGCGUCUAGCUAGAACGGGUCUGACGGU
rnacentral:rRNA from 1 species